rnacentral:rRNA from 1 species
GACAGAGGGGGCAAGCGUUGCUCGGAAUCACUGGGCGUAAAGGGUGUGUAGGCGGUUGUUUAAGUUUGGUGUGAAAUCUCCCGGCUCAACUGGGAGGGUGCGCCGAAUACUGAAUGACUUGGAGUGCGGGAGAGGAGAGUGGAAUUCCUGGUGUAGCGGUGAAAUGCGUAGAUAUCAGGAGGAACACCGGUGGUGUAGACGGCUCUCUGGACCGUAACUGACGCUGAGACACGAAAGCGUGGGUAGCAAACAGG